rnacentral:tRNA from 1 species
UCCCUGGUGGUCUAGUGGAUAGGACUUGGCACUGUUGCUGCUGCUGCCUGGGUUUGACCCCUGGUCUGGGAG